rnacentral:misc_RNA from 1 species
GGAAGUAAAGUCGUAACAAGGUUUCCGUAGGUGAACCUGCGGAAGGAUCAUUAUUGUAUAACCGAGGUGCGAGGGCUGUUGCUGACCCGAAAGGUCGUGCACGCCCGAGUGCCCUCACACACAUCCAUCUCACCCCUAUGUGCACCACCGCGUGGGUCCCCCUUUGGCUUGUUCGGAGGGGGGCUUACGUUUUCACACAAACUUUGUAUGCAGUGUAGAAUGUAUUUUUUGUUUUUGCGAUCACGCAAUCAAUACAACUUUCAACAACGGAUCUCUUGGCUCUC